rnacentral:rRNA from 1 species
AUCUAGCUUGCUAGAUGUCGGCGACCGGCGAACGGGUGCGUAACGCGUAUAGAAUCUGCCUUGUACAGGAGGAUAGCCUUUAGAAAUGAAGAUUAAUACUCCAUAAUGUUUAGAGAUGGCAUCAUUUUUAAAUUAAAGAUUUAUUGGUACAAGAUGACUAUGCGUCCUAUUAGCUAGAUGGUAAGGUAACGGCUUACCAUGGCAACGAUAGGUAGGGGGUCUGAGAGGAUUAUCCCCCACACUGGUACUGAGACACGGACCAGACUCCUACGGGAGGCAGCAGUGAGGAAUAUUGGUCAAUGGAGGCAACUCUGAACCAGCCAUGCCGCGUGCAGGAAGACUGCCCUAUGGGUUGUAAACUGCUUUUAUACAGGAAGAAACAGAACUACGUGUAGUUCCUUGACGGUACUGUAAGAAUAAGCACCGGCUAACUCCGUGCCAGCAGCCGCGGUAAUACGGAGGGUGCAAGCGUUAUCCGGAAUCAUUGGGUUUAAAGGGUCCGCAGGCGGUCAAUUAAGUCAGAGGUGAAAUCCCAUAGCUUAACUAUGGAACUGCCUUUGAUACUGGUUGACUUGAGUUAUACGGAAGUAGAUAGAAUAAGUAGUGUAGCGGUGAAAUGCAUAGAUAUUACUUAGAAUACCGAUUGCGAAGGCAGUCUACUACGUAUAUACUGACGCUCAUGGACGAAAGCGUGGGGAGCGAACAGGAUUAGAUACCCUGGUAGUCCACGCCGUAAACGAUGGACACUAGUUGUUGGGAUUUGUCUCAGUGACUAAGCGAAAGUGAUAAGUGUCCCACCUGGGGAGUACGAUCGCAAGAUUGAAACUCAAAGGAAUUGACGGGGGCCCG